GGAAGUAAAAGUCGUAACAAGGUUUCCGUAGGUGAACCUGCGGAAGGAUCAUUAAUGAAUGCUUGUAGAGGUUGAUGCUGGCCCUCUUAACAAAAGGGCAUGUGCUCGCCUCUUAUAUUUUCAUCCACCUGUGCACUUUUUGUAGGAGUUCUUUCUUUUCAUAUCAGUUGACAUUCAUUGUGGAGUGUUCAACUGGGUUUGAAAGGCUUCUAUGUGUUAUAUAAACUAUUUGAAGUAUGUUAUAGAAUGUCUUUUAAUGGGACUUUAUUGACCCUUUAAACUUAAUACAACUUUCAGCAACGGAUCUCUUGGCUCUCCCAUCGAUGAAGAACGCAGCGAAAUGCGAUAAGUAAUGUGAAUUGCAGAAUUCAGUGAAUCAUCGAAUCUUUGAACGCACCUUGCGCCCUCUGGUAUUCCGGAGGGCAUGCCUGUUUGAGUGUCAUUAAAUUCUCAACUUUAAAAAGUUUUUAAUAAGCUUUUUAAAGCUUGGAUGUUGGAGGUUUGCUGACUUUUCUAGUUUAGCUCCUCUUAAAUGCAUUAGUGGAAUCUUAUUUGUUGAAUUCAUCCCAUAGUGUGAUAAUUAUCUACACUUUGGUUUAGUUCACGAGUUUGGAUUGUUGCAUUGUUUCAUGCUCAAUCUGUACAAGGGAAGUCUGCUUUCUAACAGUCUUAUUGUUAGACAAUUUAUUUAUUUUUGGUUGACCUCAAAUCAGGUAGGAUUACCCGCUGAACUUAAGCAUAUC
rnacentral:rRNA from 1 species